rnacentral:rRNA from 1 species
GAUAACGGCGUCGAGCGGCGGACGGGUGAGUAAUGCCUAGGAAAUUGCCCUGAUGUGGGGGAUAACCAUUGGAAACGAUGGCUAAUACCGCAUAAUGCCUACGGGCCAAAGAGGGGGACCUUCGGGCCUCUCGCGUCAGGAUAUGCCUAGGUGGGAUUAGCUAGUUGGUGAGGUAAUGGCUCACCAAGGCGACGAUCCCUAGCUGGUCUGAGAGGAUGAUCAGCCACACUGGAACUGAGACACGGUCCAGACUCCUACGGGAGGCAGCAGUGGGGAAUAUUGCACAAUGGGCGCAAGCCUGAUGCAGCCAUGCCGCGUGUGUGAAGAAGGCCUUCGGGUUGUAAAGCACUUUCAGUCGUGAGGAAGGUAGUGUAGUUAAUAGCUGCAUUAUUUGACGUUAGCGACAGAAGAAGCACCGGCUAACUCCGGGCCAGCAGCCGCGGUAAUACGGAGGGUGCGAGCGUUAAUCGGAAUUACUGGGCGUAAAGCGCAUGCAGGUGGUUUGUUAAGUCAGAUGUGAAAGCCCGGGGCUCAACCUCGGAAUAGCAUUUGAAACUGGCAGACUAGAGUACUGUAGAGGGGGGUAGAAUUUCAGGUGUAGCGGUGAAAUGCGUAGAGAUCUGAAGGAAUACCGGUGGCGAAGGCGGCCCCCUGGACAGAUACUGACACUCAGAUGCGAAAGCGUGGGGAGCAAACAGGAUUAGAUACCCUGGUAGUCCACGCCGUAAACGAUGUCUACUUGGAGGUUGUGGCCUUGAGCCGUGGCUUUCGGAGCUAACGCGUUAAGUAGACCGCCUGGGGAGUACGGUCGCAAGAUUAAAACUCAAAUGAAUUGACGGGGGCCCGCACAAGCGGUGGAGCAUGUGGUUUAAUUCGAUGCAACGCGAAGAACCUUACCUACUCUUGACAUCCAGAGAACUUUCCAGAGAUGGAUUGGUGCCUUCGGGAACUCUGAGACAGGUGCUGCAUGGCUGUCGUCAGCUCGUGUUGUGAAAUGUUGGGUUAAGUCCCGCAACGAGCGCAACCCUUAUCCUUGUUUGCCAGCGAGUAAUGUCGGGAACUCCAGGGAGACUGCCGGUGAUAAACCGGAGGAAGGUGGGGACGACGUCAAGUCAUCAUGGCCCUUACGAGUAGGGCUACACACGUGCUACAAUGGCGCAUACAGAGGGCAGCAAGCUAGCGAUAGUGAGCGAAUCCCAAAAAGUGCGUCGUAGUCCGGAUUGGAGUCUGCAACUCGACUCCAUGAAGUCGGAAUCGCUAGUAAUCGUGGAUCAGAAUGCCACGGUGAAUACGUUCCCGGGCCUUGUACACACCGCCCGUCACACCAUGGGAGUGGGCUGCAAAAGAAGUAGGUAGUUUAAC